rnacentral:rRNA from 1 species
AGUGUUUGAUCAUGGCUCAGGAUGAACGCUGGCGGCGUGCCUAACACAUGCAAGUCGAACGAAGCACUUUGGAUGGAGAUUCGUCAAAAUCUGAUUUGACUUAGUGGCGGACGGGUGAGUAAUGUGUGAGCAACCUGCCUUUCAGAGGGGGACAACAGUUGGAAACGGCUGCUAAUACCGCAUAUGCGCGUAGCUGAGAUGCUAUUCGUGAAAACUCCGGUGCUCUGGGAUGAGUCUGCAUCUGAUUAGCUAGUUGGGGGUGUAAUGGACCACCAAGGCGACGAUCAGUAGCUGGUUUGAGAGGAUGAUCAGCCACAUUGGGACUGAGACACGGCCCAGACUCC